GUGGGGAAUUUUGGACAAUGGGCGCAAGCCUGAUCCAGCAAUGCCGCGUGCAGGAUGAAGGCCUUCGGGUUGUAAACUGCUUUUGUACGGAACGAAAAGCCCUGGGUUAAUACCCUGGGGUCAUGACGGUACCGUAAGAAUAAGCACCGGCUAACUACGUGCCAGCAGCCGCGGUAAUACGUAGGGUGCAAGCGUUAAUCGGAAUUACUGGGCGUAAAGCGUGCGCAGGCGGUUUUGUAAGACAGAGGUGAAAUCCCCGGGCUCAACCUGGGAACUGCCUUUGUGACUGCAAGGCUAGAGUACGGCAGAGGGGGAUGGAAUUCCGCGUGUAGCAGUGAAAUGCGUAGAUAUGCGGAGGAACACCGAUGGCGAAGGCAAUCCCCUGGGCCUGUACUGACGCUCAUGCACGAAAGCGUGGGGAGCAAACAGGAUUAGAUACCCCGGUAGUCC
rnacentral:rRNA from 1 species